rnacentral:rRNA from 1 species
UACGUAGGCAGCAAGCGUUGUUCGGAAUUACUGGGCGUAAAGAGUGUGUAGGCGGUGCUCUAAGUUCGGUGUGAAAUCUCCCGGCUUAACUGGGAGGGUGCGCCGGAAACUGGAGUGCUCGAGCGUGGGAGAGGAAAGCGGAAUUCCUGGUGUAGCGGUGAAAUGCGUAGAUAUCAGGAGGAACACCUGCGGUGUAGACGGCUUUCUGGACCAUUACUGACGCUGAGACACGAAAGCGUGGGUAGCAAACAGG